rnacentral:rRNA from 1 species
AACGAACGCUGGCGGCAUGCCUAACACAUGCAAGUCGAACGAGACCUUCGGGUCUAGUGGCGCACGGGUGCGUAACGCGUGGGAACCUGCCCUUAGGUUCGGAAUAACACCCCGAAAGGGGUGCUAAUACCGGAUAAUGUCUUCGGACCAAAGAUUGAUCGCCUUUGGAUGGGCCCGCGUUGGAUUAGCUAGUUGGUAGGGUAAAAGCCUACCAAGGCGACGAUCCAUAGCUGGUCUGAGAGGAUGAGCAGCCACACUGGGACUGAGACACGGCCCAGACUACUACGGGAGGCAGCAGUGGGGAAUAUUGGACAAUGGGCGAAAGCAUGAUCCAGCACUGCCGCGUGAGUGAUGAAGGUCUUAGGGUUGUAAAGCUCUUUUACCCGGGAUGAUAAUGACAGUACCGGGAGAAUAAGCUCCGGCUAACUCCGUG